GAUGAACGCUGGCGGCGUGCCUAAUACAUGCAAGUCGAGCGAACAGAUAAGGAGCUUGCUCCUUUGACGUUAGCGGCGGACGGGUGAGUAACACGUGGAUAACCUACCUAUAAGACUGGGAUAACUUCGGGAAACCGGAGCUAAUACCGGAUAACAUAUUGAACCGCAUGGUUCAAUAGUGAAAGGCGGCUUUGCUGUCACUUAUAGAUGGAUCCGCGCCGUAUUAGCUAGUUGGUAAGGUAACGGCUUACCAAGGCAACGAUACGUAGCCGACCUGAGAGGGUGAUCGGCCACACUGGAACUGAGACACGGUCCAGACUCCUACGGGAGGCAGCAGUAGGGAAUCUUCCGCAACGGGCGAAAGCCUGACGGAGCAACGCCGCGUGAGUGAUGAAGGUCUUCGGAUCGUAAAACUCUGUUAUCAGGGAAGAACAAAUGUGUAAGUAACUGUGCACAUCUUGACGGUACCUGAUCAGAAAGCCACGGCUAACUACGUG
rnacentral:rRNA from 1 species